rnacentral:lncRNA from 1 species
GGCAGGAUGACACGGCAGUUAGGAGCUUCUCUGGGGCCUUCAGGCAGACGGUCUGGGCUGUGUCCUGGCUGUGCCUUUUCCCAGCCCUACCUGCAGUCCUACACAUCUUCUCCACCUCCAGCGGCUUCUCCUUCUCACAUCCACCCUCUGCGAAGGCAUAAAUAGUAGCAACUCCCUUCUGGAUUCUAUGAGGUGAUAAUUACAUGAGAUGGCAGAGCCUGGAGCACGGGAGCUCCUCAGUGACUCAGUCAUGUUCAUUCCAAGGAGUUCAGGGUCCUUGCCGUCUGCAAACCUUUCCCCUUAUUUUCAAGAUCCUUGAGUCUGACUGUCAAGCAGUAACAUUCCAGCCUCAACUACAACAAUACUUGUAGAUGAAUGGAGCUUCCACUGGACCCCAUGUCACUGGUGAGGGACUUCAGGCAGAGAGAAAGCUCAUCCUUUGCCCAAGGUCACACCGCUGGUAAAAAGCAAAUGAAGUUCAAACUGACCUCCUCAUCCCUGCCCUUGUCCUCCCAACAGGCUCCUCACAGGUGGAAAAAUCAACCCCUACAGCAAACUCAUUGUUUUUUUGACCUCUCCUAAAAUUAAAAUCCAAGAUCCCUCAUGAGCUCUGUGAUCUUGGGUAAGGUGUUUUUUUUUUUUUCACCUCUAUGGGUUCCAGUUUCCUCCAAAGAAAAACCAAGGGUUUUGCAAA